rnacentral:rRNA from 1 species
UUAAGCAUAUCAAUAAGCGGAGGAAAAGAAACCAACAGGGAUUGCCCCAGUAACGGCGAGUGCAAGCGGCAACAGCUCAAAUUUGAAAUCUGGCCCCUCGGGCCCGAGUUGUAAUUUGUAGAGGAUGCUUUUGGCAAGGUGCCGCCCGAGUUCCCUGGAACGGGACGCCGCAGAGGGUGAGAGCCCCGUCUGGCUGGCCACCGAGCCUCUGUAAAGCUCCUUCGACGAGUCGAGUAGUUUGGGAAUGCUGCUCAAAAUGGGAGGUAUAUGUCUUCUAAAGCUAAAUAUUGGCCAGAGACCGAUAGCGCACAAGUAGAGUGAUCGAAAGAUGAAAAGCACUUUGAAAAGAGGGUUAAACAGUACGUGAAAUUGUUGAAAGGGAAGCGCUCAUGACCAGACUUGGGCUUGGCGAAUCAUCCGGCGUUCUCGCCGGUGCACUUCGCCUCGCCCAGGCCAGCAUCAGUUCGCGCCGGGGGACAAAAGCUUCGGGAAUGUGGCUCCUCCGGGAGUGUUAUAGCCCGUUGCAUAAUACCCUGGGGCGGACUGAGGUUCGCGCAUCUGCAAGGAUGCUGGCGUAAUGGUCAUCAGCGACCCGUCUUGAAACACGGACCAAGGAGUCGUCUUCGUAUGCGAGUGUUCGGGUGUCAAACCCCUACGCGUAAUGAAAGUGAACGCAGGUGAGAGCUUCGGCGCAUCAUCGACCGAUCCUGAUGUUCUCGGAUGGAUUUGAGUAAGAGCAUACGGGGCCGGACCCGAAAGAAGGUGAACUAUGCCUGUAUAGGGUGAAGCCAGAGGAAACUCUGGUGGAGGCUCGCAGCGGUUCUGACGUGCAAAUCCGAUCGUCAAAUAUGGGCAUGGGGGCGAAAGACUAAUCGAACCUUCUAGUAGCUGGUUUCCGCCGAAGUU